CCUUCAAAAGCUCAGCUGGUAGAGCAGAUGGUAGAAGUCCCUAAGUCUCUGGUUCAAUUCCAGAUUGAAGGA